rnacentral:lncRNA from 1 species
AGACAGGGGAAGACAAAAAGGACAAACAGCUCCUGGGAAGUGGAGGCUGGGAACUGUGGGAACUCCUGGAUCUCUCUUGGCUGGAGAUGGUUUCAGGUUUGAAAGGUGGAGCCCUUCCCUGUGGUCACUGUGAAGGAAAAAGGCUCUUUUGGCAAAUGGCUCAUUCAAAGGUACAAGAGAUAAAGGAAGUCUGCUUCCUGCUGUUCUUUCCUGACAUGGAAAACAUUUGUUGGGAUGCCCCAGCAAGGCUCUGCAGUGGAACAAGAGGGUUCUUUGUGUUUCUUUUCCUCCUGAAGCUUUGCCUCUUUUCAAGAGAGACAUCUGCUCUGGUCAAUGGUACUUACAGGCCUUUCAAACCCAAUUAGGCACUUGAGAGCCAGGAGCUGUGAGUGCUCAGCUUCCCCAGCCAGCAAAGGAUUUUCCCCUCUGCAGCACAGCUUCCCUCAGCAAAGGAUUUUCCCCUCUGCAGCUCCUGUAAUACCAUGCUUUCCCAAGAUUUUUUAAUAACUGGUCAUUUGUAACUGUCUGGAGUGUUUGGAAAUAAUGGCCAUUCCUGCUCUGUUUGCUCUCUGAACAAUUUCAUUCAGCAGUUUUUUAAGAGGGAGAAAAAUAAAACUAAAAAAAAAAAAAUCA